UACGUAGGGGGCUAGCGUUGUCCGGAAUCAUUGGGCGUAAAGAGCGUGUAGGCGGCUCGGUAAGUCCGCUGUGAAAGUCCAGGGCUCAACCCUGGAAUGCCGGUGGAAACUGUCGGGCUAGAGUCCGGAAGAGGCGAGUGGAAUUCCUGAUGUAGCGGUGAAAUGCGCAGAUAUCAGGAGGAACACCAAUGGCGAAGGCAGCUUUCUGGCUCGUAACUGACGCUGAGAUUCGAAAGCGUGGGUAGCAAACAGG
rnacentral:rRNA from 1 species